AGUACCGGAGCCAACACGGCUAGACACCUGCCCGGGAUCUAUGCCACUGGGUUCAGGUGCUAAAGCUGAGGGCAGGUCUCUGGUGCCUCACCUCUAGGACCGAGCUGGACAGCUGCAGUCAGGGCACCAUGGGACCAGGCCAACUCCCACGGCACACCGACUCCCCAAACUCCCAGCACAGACUUACUCAGAGUCUUCAGAAUUGAGCAGAUCAGCCCGGGGGUCUGGCACAUAAAGGCAAUGAACUUGUGCUGGAUGAAUGGAUGAACAAAUGAAUGGCUGGGAGGUGGUGACUUACCAGCGCCUGCUGCCCACACCAGCAUCAGGCAACUCACAGAGAAGGUGAUUCUGGAGCAAAGCCACCCCAUUUGGGAGAUCCUAGGGUGCCUGCUGAGAGAAAGGCAACUGGUUAGCACUGACUGGGGGCUUCUACCAUCCCCCACUCCAGAACCCACUGGACACAGCCCAGCCUGGGAGCCACACAUUUACGCCAAGGAUGGAUCUUGAAAAAAAAAGCCCAUGCCUGAUAAGCAUGAGCAAAUCUUAGGAUUUCUGGAA